rnacentral:rRNA from 1 species
GUCCACGCUGUAACGAUGAGUGCUAAGUGUUAGAGGGUUUCCGCCCUUUAGUGCUGAAGUUAACGCAUUAAGCACUCCGCCUGGGAGUACGGUCGCAAGACUGAAACUCAAAGGAAUUGACGGGGCCCGCACAAGUGGUGGAGCAUGUGGUUUAAUUCGAAGCAACGCGAAGAACCUUACCAGGUCUUGACAUCCUCUGACAACCCUAGAGAUAGGGCUUUCCCUUCGGGGACAGAGUGACAGGUGGUGCAUGGUUGUCGU